AUUGAACGCUGGCGGCAUGCUUUACACAUGCAAGUCGAACGGCAGCGCGGGCUUCGGCCUGGCGGCGAGUGGCGAACGGGUGAGUAAUGCAUCGGAACGUGCCCAGUAGUGGGGGAUAGCCCGGCGAAAGCCGGAUUAAUACCGCAUACGACCUGAGGGUGAAAGCGGGGGACCGAAAGGCCUCGCGCUAUUGGAGCGGCCGAUGUCGGAUUAGCUAGUUGGUGGGGUAAAGGCUUACCAAGGCGACGAUCCGUAGCUGGUCUGAGAGGACGACCAGCCACACUGGGACUGAGACACGGCCCAGACUCCUACGGGAGGCAGCAGUGGGGAAUUUUGGACAAUGGGGGCAACCCUGAUCCAGCCAUGCCGCGUGCGGGAAGAAGGCCUUCGGGUUGCAAACCGCUUUUGUUCGGGAAGAAAUACUCUGGGCUAAUACCCCGGGGGGAUGACGGUACCGGAAGAAUAAGCACCGGCUAACUACGUG
rnacentral:rRNA from 1 species